UAUGAAGGGGGCUAGCGUUGUUCGGAAUUACUGGGCGUAAAGCGUAUGCAGGCGGACUUUUAAGUCGGGGGUGAAAUCCCGAGGCUCAACCUCGGAACUGCCUUCGAUACUGGAAGUCUUGAGUCCGGGAGAGGUGAGUGGAACUCCGAGUGUAGAGGUGAAAGUCGUAGAUAUCGGAAGGAACAACUGUGGCGAAAGCGGCGCACUGGACCAUUACUGACACUGAGGCACGAAAGCUAGGGGAGUAAACAGG
rnacentral:rRNA from 1 species